GCCAUGGUGGAAGAGUAUGGCAGAGGAAAGUUGCUUCGGGACAUGGCCACCAGGAAACACAGAGAGACUAAGCUCAGUUUACCAAAUAUAUACCCCAAAGACACACUCCCAAUUACCCAAUUCCUCCAGCUGUGCCCUACCAGCCUGCAGUUACUACUCAGCUAAUCCCUGUCAGGGGAUUGAUUCACUGUUUGGGUUAAGACUAUCUGAGCCUAAUCAUUUCAAUUCUAAACUUUGUUUAUUGUCCCACACAUGAGCGUUUGAUGACACCUAAUAUCUAAACCAUAGCAAUAUCUGACUCAUGCCUACAUCCCUCACCCUCACCACUUUUUGAGCACUGCCCCAAUUCCAAUUGACAGUACCUGCAUUUCUUUGCCUAUGAGUUUUCCCUAGCAAACAGAGCCUACUUAGCCUACGUGAGCACAGAUUGAAGUUCAAAUUCUCUUCCUGGAAUCUCUUCAACUGGUAAUUCACAAUAAAUAAUAGAUGUAUACAGUAUAGCAUAAUGGUGUGCCCAGAGAUUAUAUCCCUAUCCUCCAAAAUCUGAAUGUUAUUUUACAUGGUAAAAGAAACUUUGAAGUUAUAAGUAAGUGAUGAUGUUAAUAUGGAAGACUGUCCUGCAUUGUUCAGAUGGCCUUAAUAUUAUUACAUGGGUCCUUCUAAGUGAAAGAAGGAGAUCAUGGUCAAAUUGAAGGAUGCUUUGCUGCUGGCUUUGCAGGUAGUGGAAGGGGACCCCUGACACAAAAUGCAGGUGGUCUCUAGAAACUGAGAAGACCAUGAAGUAUUCUCCUGCAGGGCCUUCAGUGGCAGCCCCAUAGUCACAUAGAUCAUAGCUCAGUAUGAUCCAUUGUAGACUUCAGACCUCCAGAACUGCAAAGUAAUAAAUGUGUUAUUUUAAACCACAAUGUGUUAUUGUAAACCACAUUGGUAAGAGUUUGUUACAGAAGAAUGAUGAACCUAAUAGAUUUUGAGUGGGAUACCUGAGGCAUGUGUUAAAUAUUAGCUUUUACUGUCUUUAGAUAGACAUUUCAUGCCUAAUCUAUACCUAGAAAACAAACCAAUGAUUAGUUGCCUUCCCUUUCCUGUCUGAUGUUUUCAUUUCCGUACUGUGUUGAAAAUAUCUCCAAAUAAACAAUUUAUACUAAAGUCCUCAAAUUGGAGCUCACUUCUGGGGACCUCAAUAUAAAAAAGAACUUGGGAUACCUUUAGUGAUAGAAUAAUGUAGGUGUUUGUCAAAUUCUUUAAGAUUGAAUUGGAAAAGAGAUAUUUAUAUUUAUAGCAAGUUUCAGUUCCAGAGAUGCAGUGAUCUGCUAAAGUGGGGUAGAAGUCUAAAACUUGGGUAGUUCCAGUAUGUAGUGCUUAUUUUUCUUAUAAAACUUUAAAAGAGAGUUUUAUGCAUAUCAGGGUGGGUCUUCAGUAUUUAGAAUAAGACUCUAUAAUCCAGAUCUCUGCUUAUUGUCUCCAAAAUUGAAUCUUAGGGUCUCCCCUGCCACCAGAGUCUAUCAAUCUAAGAAGGAACCUGUAAGCACAUUUUCCAGAUUGGCUCACUUUAUCCCAUAAUUUCUCAAUCUUGUGUUAUUGACAUUUGGAACUGGAUAAUUCUUUGUUGUGAGGUUUGUCCUGUGCAUUAUUGGAUAGUUAGCAACAUUCCUCUCUUCUCUUCCAGUUGCUCAGAUCAUCCUCACCCGAGUUGUGAUAAACAAAAAUAUUUUCUGACAUUUGAGAGUCACCCCUCUAUCUACCUCUUCCCAGAAGUCUGGAAGUUAGGAUUCAUCAUGUCACAGCUUCUGAAAACACACCAAGAUUAAAGACAGAGGCCCUUCCCUCUUCUGUUGAGGAAAUGUAUCCUGUCUCUCAUUUUCUCCAUAACCUCAGAUAAGUACUUAUUGUUUUCAUGAUAAUAAGCAGUCUCAUCUUACUGUGACAUGAUGUUUGUGAGGGGGCCGGAGUUUAAGAUCUUUUACAUAAAAGAAGUUUCAUAAUCACAAGCUGUGAAAAGGGAGAGAAUGUCUACCUCCCAUAGGUACUUUUGCCAUGAAUUUCCUGACCUUGAUUUGAUUAAAACCUCAACCUAAAGAUUGCAACAAUUUAAAUGUCUUUAGAGUUUAAUUGUUCAUUUCACUUUGAAAAAAAAAAAAGACUCAAGGUGGGGCAAGAUGGGUGGCAGAACGGAAGGAGAAG